CCUAGGAAACAAGAUGCUAAUACCGGAUAACAACAGAUGAUGCCUAUCAACUGUUUAAAAGAUGGUUCUGCUAUCACUCUUGGAUGGACCUGCGGUGCAUUAGCUAGUUGGUAGGGUAACGGCCUACCAAGGCGAUGAUGCAUAGCCGAGUUGAGAGACUGAUCGGCCACAUUGGGACUGAGACACGGCCCAAACUCCUACGGGAGGCAGCAGCCG
rnacentral:rRNA from 1 species